AGAGCAGUCAUCUUUAGGAGAACACAACUACACUGUCCAGAUGAGGUUUUGAUAAAUCAGAUUUAAUUGAAUUCAUAAACCAGUAGAUCCAUGUUGGCAAGGCUACAUCCAUCCAAGAUGUUGAAUCUCUGCCAAGUCCAAGCUUUUACCAGAAGUGGACAAGUAGAAUCUCCCUGAUUCUGAUAAACACUGAAAAACCAAGACUUCUGCCUGUCAAAGAAGAUAUUGCAAUAUUCCUUCCUAAAAGCAGAGAAUCAUUAAUCAAACAGGUCUUUGUCAUCUAUGGAUCAUCUCCAGGAGGCCCCAUGAAGCAGUGGGACUCCACAACUGGGAGUGAAUGGACGUCAAGCGGAGAUGAACCAGCUUUGGAUAAACGUGUUCUACUGCAGAUGUGAGUAGGAGGUGAACCAGAGUGAAUGACAGCGAGAAGGUGGAAUUCUUUCAUUGGCUGCUGAUGGCUGAUAUUACAUGUAUGGCUGUGUGUCAUUUACCUGGAGAAGAGAUGGCAGCAGGAUGCACUGUGGGAAGAGGUCAAGCCGGUGAAGGAAAUGCGAUGUCCUGGACAAUGUUCUGUUGGAAAACACUGGGUCCUUGGCAUUCAGGAUAAUGCUUCUUACUACCCUUCAAAAAUUGUUCAGAAAUGGUUUGAGGAGUAGAGUUCAAGGUGUUGACUUGAUCUCCACAUUCCUUAGAUCUCAAACUGAUUGAGCAUCUGUUGGAUGUGCUAGAAAAACAACCCAUAGAGGUCCCACCUUGCAAUUUACAGGACUUGAAGGACCUGUUGCUAACAUCUUGGUGCUGAAACCGCAGGACACGCCUCAUUAAAAGACAUAAUUUGAAUGGUCAGAGCUGUUUUGGUAGCACAAGGAGGAUUUUUUAGGUGGUUUUAAUGUUUUGGCUGAUAGGUGAUCUAAGAGAAGUAUGAGAUCAGGUCACCAACAGAUGUCAGUGUUGGUCUGACAAAAUUUUACUGACAUCUCCUGAACAUUAUGUAUCUUUCAGUACAUCUCUGUAAAACAAGUCUCCCAAUGAGCACCCAGGAAACACAUGCUUAGGCGAUAUAAG
ensembl:lncRNA